AAUAGAUACCCGGGUAGUCCUAGCUGUAAACGAUGAGCACUAGAUCGAGGGCCUGCACAGGCUCUCGGUCGUAGCGAAAGUGUUAAGUGCUCCGCCUGGGGAGGUAUGGUCGCAAGGCUGAAACUCAAAGAAAUUGACGGGGGCGUCACACAAGCGGUGGAGGAUGUGGCUUAAUUCGAGGCUACGCGAAGAACCUUAUCCUGGUCUUGACAUGUUUUAGAACUCUCCUGAAAGGGAGAGGUGCCCGCAAGGGAGCUAUUGCACAGGUGCUGCAUGGCUGUCGUCAGCUCGUGUCGUGAGAUGUCGGGUUAAGUCCCUUAACGAGCGAAACCCUUGUCACUAGUUGCCAGCGAGUAAUGUCGGGGACUCUAGUGAGACUGCCGGUGUUAAACCGGAGGAAGGUGGGAUGACGUCAAGUCCUCAUGGCCCUUAUGACCAGGGCUGCACACGUCCUACAAUGGCGCGUACAAAGCGAUGCAAACUCGUGAGAGCCAGCAAAUCGCACAAAGCGCG
rnacentral:rRNA from 1 species